rnacentral:lncRNA from 12 species
GCAUAAUAUAAAUUAAAUGAUACAUUUUGAAUACUUUUUGUCUUUAAAACCAAUUGACUGCUUUGGCUAUUUUUUUUAAGUGCAUUAAAGCUGAAGAAGCUUAACUCAGCAUCAUCAAAUUAGGUAAUAUUAGGCAUUUUGGGCAAAUCAUUUCCAUAUUAAAUUCUAGAUGGCAAAUAUACAUAUUCUGUUUUGGAUUCUGGUUCCUGCUGGUGUGCUGAUUUUUGUAUUUUUUUUUUUAAAUCAGAGUUUACACAAACUUGAUGAACCGAACCUAAAAGUCUUCAGCUCUCUUUUAUCAAAGAAUGCUGGACUGUACUAUUUGUUUAUUAAUGUUUUCAUUUAAUAGGACAUGAACUUACAAUUAAGGUCCGAUUUUUGCAGGACUAACUUUCUCUCACAUUCAGCCUGUGGUAGAGAGUUACAGCAUCCUCGCUUGAAUUUAACCCAAAAACCUUUACUUACAGAAGGAAAUAUUGGCUCUGUAUCCUUGUUGUUGAUCUGAUGUUUACUCUAUACUUUAUUAUUUUAAACUAGAACUGUGGUCAUCAGUCAUCCAGUAAUAUGUACUUCCCUGUGCACGUCAUGUUUUAACUGGGGCAGGACAAUUAUUACCCCAGAAUACAAAGCUGCUUUUUAUUUCUUUUAUCGUAAUACCUGGAUUGGCCAAAAGAGGGCCAUCAGCCAAUUUAACUUUGAGCCAGCCAAAGGGCAAUGUACAGAUUCGACUGACAGCAAGACAUAAGGUUUUAUUCCUCUCUUUGAUCAGCAAAGCGCAUAACAACGUAGGCUACUAUGUACAAUUCGCGCGGUCUCCUUUUCCUUUCAUUUGGAUUUACCUUGCUGGAGUUCAUCACCUGUGACAGCGAUGGAUCUUUAUUGGCGGGUGAAUGUCAAAGAAUGGAUAUCAAACAUGGUAAUAGACCAGCACAAAACGGUGAAGCCCCCUUCAAGAUCGAACCAGAAUAUAAAGAAGUGACAGAUUCUGAACUGGGAAAGAACAUUAUUGUCUCGCUUAGGGCUUCGGUUCAAUUUAAAGGUUUCAUGUUGGACGCUCGUAAGUGUGAUGAGUGUGCGUCUGCUGGCAGGUUUAAUUUAAUCCAGACUGAACCGAACAACAGCAUACUCAUCUGUGAUGACCGUGUUGUGGCUCAAAGUAAUAACCAAAGAAAAACGAUAGUUAAUGUGUUGUGGAUCCCCGAAGAGACUGGAGUGUUUUUCUUCAGAGCUGCUUUCGUUGAAGAUUUCAGUAUUUUUUGGCUAAGGAAGCCGAUCAUACUCACGACGACUGCAUCACCCACCACUGAAUCCACCAGUCACAGUACACAAACAAGUCCAACAGUUGGACUAGCAUCGCCGCCUCAGUGUCUACAAUAUAUGAGAUAUGCUUUAGCACUGUUAUUAUUCAGUCGACUGUGUUUUCUUGGAGGCUCUUCUCUCCUGAUGAUUUUCAGACCAGCGUCAAAAAUGGCCACCAUGAUUGCGUCUGUCUUUGAACCAGCCUCCAAAACUAUUGCUGUCAUCUUCGUACUAAUAAAACUAAUUAAAUAUGAGUGUGCGUGUGAGUGUGAUAGUUUGCAGAUUGUGUUUAGUGCUUUGACAGUGGCUGCCAUGGUUUCAAGCCUGCUGCACACUCUCACCGUUUUCCUUUACUGUGGACCAAGCCAUGAAUUAAGGAAGUGUUGGCUCUGUGCCAUUAUAAUUGUUGGCCUAAUGAAUACUAUCAUUACAACAACUGCAAUAUUCUUUGAAAUAUGGUGCUUUCAAGAGCGCUGGCUGCCAUUAUUAAUGGGAGUUUUUGUUGUUUGGGAGUUCAUGCUUUAUCUUGGCUCAGUUUGCUGUGAACAGAUGGAAAAAUACAGGUCAAGAAAAAAUCAGAAUCGUACUGCGGAAAAGAGGAUAUCCCCAUGGUUGUUUAUGUUCAUCAUCUUUUCAGUGUUUAAUGCAAUGUUUACAGCUGCACUCAUAACAGGAGUGUCUUUGGUCAAAACGAAAAAUAGUUGA